GACGAACGCUGGCGGCGUGCUUAAUACAUGCAAGUCAACGAUUUUUAAGAUAGCAAUAUUUUAAAAUAGUGGCGCACGGUGAGUAACACGUAGAUAAUCUGCCUUUAGGUCUGACAUAACUCGUCGAAAGACGGGCUAAUAUCAGAUAAAACAAUAACUUGGCAUCAAGUAAUUGUCAAAAGCUUCGGCGCCCAAAGAUGAGUCUGCGGACCAUUAGGUAGUUGGUGGAUUAACAGCCCACCAAGCCAACGAUGGAUAGCUGGUCUGAGAGGAUGAUCAGCCACACUGGAACUGAGACACGGUCCAGACUCCUACGGGAGGCAGCAGUAAGGAAUAUUGCUCAAUGGGAGAAAUCCUGAAGCAGCAACGCCGCGUGAAGGAAGAA
rnacentral:rRNA from 1 species